rfam:Candidatus Moranella endobia PCIT, complete genome.
AAAACUUAUGUAUAAGUUCCUUACUUCCAUGGGAUAAAGUUGACCAUCGGAGGUUGAAUAAUCCGUAAGGAGCCAUUCUAUG